GGAGAGUUAUCGAAGUGGUCAUAACGAGCUUGACUCGAAAUCAAGUUGUCCAUCCGGGCACGUGGGUUCGAAUCCCACACUCUCCG
rnacentral:tRNA from 1 species